GCUCAGUCUCCUCUGCGGUUUCCUUCCUUGCCUGGGUCGUGGAAGACCCUUUGGGCAGCCCCCGUGGGCUUGUCCUUUACUUGGGUCAUAAAAUUUGAGUUUAUUACCCAAAGUAUAAACACACGCCCCAAGUCACAUCAUCACCCAGUCCAGUGACCGUCUGGCACACGGAGCUGGUCUCCCGAGAGCCGAGACUGACUCAUCUCGGUCUCCUCCCCCAGCGCCAGGCCCAGAGCGACCCCAGCGCAGUGAUGGCCACUUGGCAGAACAGAACCGAGCGCGGACGAUCGGAUCGUGGCCGGCGGGAACCACGAUUCGGUCCCUCAGGACUCCGCAGAGUUACGAAGUCUUCAAACCGAAAGCUAGCUGGUGUCUGGGGAAAGGGAAAAAGAAAAAACGCUGGGCUCGUCCGGGAUUUGAACCCGGGACCUCUCGCACCCAAAGCGAGAAUCAUACCCCUAGACCAACGAGCCGGUGUUACAGUGGCUCCUGGUGCCUGUCCUUGGAGGCCUGAGACCGCGGCUCCGCCCUCGGAUCCCGGGCUGAGAAUCCGCAGCCAGAUCCUGUGGAUGGUUUUGGUUUCGAUUCGAGAAGGAGAGGAGGAGGCGCAGCGCGGCCGGAAUCUCCGGCGUCCCGGCUCCAGCUUGGCUUGAUUUUGGUCCUCCUGACAACCAUAUGCGACAGGUGCAUUCGCUCAGAUCCCGCCCGCCCCCGAGCAUCCCGGGACCCCAGGGAGACUGCGCAUGCGCGAAGGAAACUGCUCAAAGACCCAAGGUAGCAGUUAGCUCCACUGUCUUGACCGGGAUACUAUCCUCGCUUAGGGUACACAAGGUCUGGGCAUCAAAUCCCGGACGAGCUCUUUCCCCCUUCUUUUAGGAGAAUCUACGUCCCGUGAGAACUAGCAUCAAGAAGGAGUUCACUAGGCAAAAUGUGGGCGCGAAGGGGAGAGAGGGCACAGCCCGGAGCUUGGGGAAAGCGUCGGUCACGACCUUCAUUCUCCUCUCCACGUUGCUUCUUAGACCAAGAGUGUUUCCUAGUCCCAAAUCUACGCGGUUUUUAGCAGAGCCCAGUGGUCUUAGGUCUUUGUCCUAAGGACCCUCCGUGAUGGCUCUGUAUAUGCCCACCUAGCUCAGUGUGUAGAGUGUGGAACUGUAAUAUCAGAGAGCCCGGCGUUUACUCUCCUAUCAGAAGAUGGGUAUUCUUUCCUCUCUCGAAGAUAUUUGUCAUUGUGGUUCCCAGAAGUGGGGUCGGGGGAGGCGCGAGCGGAAUUAGAUGAAGGCAGUCAAAAGGUACAAACUUCCAGCUGUAAGGAAGUACUGAGAUACAGUGUACAACAUAAUAAAGAUAAUUAACACUGCUGUGUUAGAAGAGCU
rnacentral:tRNA from 1 species